UUGAGCUAAGCAAAAGAGAAAAAGACAACAGCUUAACAUCCAAGCAGGCAGCAGCUCAGAGAUACCUAUGCCUGUCAAAUGUAUUUUACACUAAGGACUUUUGCACACAGAAUGGCUCAGUGCACUGCAUGCCUUCUUUGCUCUUGGAAGAAGUGCUAAUGACUGGUUGCCAUGAUCUCCUGCUUCCAUACUUUUCACCAUUUCCUUUCAACUCAUUUGCAGUAAUUUGCUGUCUUUCAGAGUUCACUGUAUUCUGGAUCUGUGAUCUUGGAUGUCUGUAGGAACUACCCCAAGAAGAAAUUAACAAAUCAGGAGCAAAUCUCUUCUGUGGAUAGAAAAUAGUUAUAGAAGUUCCUCUACCAGUAAAGCUGACAUCCCCUUUCCUGUAAUUCAAAUAUUUCUAUGACAAGAUAGCAGCACAUCAGGAGAAACAGCAGAUGCUGCUUCUCCUGGCUUCCCUAACCAGCAAGACACGCCCAAUUUAAGCUGAAAGAGAUGACACAGUCUUUCACCCGAGCACUACAGACCUUG